rnacentral:rRNA from 1 species
GACGAACGCUGGCGGCGUGCUUAACACAUGCAAGUCGAACGGACGAGUGAGAUAAGUUACUUAACUCACAAGUUAGUGGCGGACGGGUGAGUAACACGUGGAUAAUCUACCUGCAACACCGGGAUAACGCUGUGAAAACGGUGCUAAUACCGGAUACGUUCCCUUGUGCGCAUGUAUGAGGGAAGAAAGCUCAGGCGGUUGCAGAUGAGUCCGCGGCUGAUUAGCUAGUUGGUGAGGUAAAGGCUCACCAAGGCGAUGAUCAGUAGCCGGCCUGAGGGGGUGAACGGCCACACUGGGACUGAGACACGGCCCAGACUCCUACGGGAGGCAGCAGUGGGGAAUCUUCCGCAAUGGGCGCAAGCCUGACGGAGCAACGCCGCGUGGGUGAAGAAGGCCUUCGGGUUGUAAAGCCCUGUCUUAUGGGAAGAAGUCAGUGACGGUACCAUAGGAGGAAGCCACGGCUAACUACGUG